UGAAUCUUUUGCAAUUUGUUUAAUGAACAAUGAAGACUGCAAAGAAGAAAGCUGUAGGUGGGAUCGGUGUAUUAGCGGCUGGCUGCAGCAACACAACCAGGAGGACUUUGACUUGGAUAGCAGACCCGCUAGCCGCCGACGCUAGCCGCCGACCACACGGAUGAUUGGGUGAGGUCCUUCGUCCUUCCGUCGAUCGCUGGAACGCAGGUGCGACUUAUACUCCGGAGCGACUUAUACUCCGAAAAAUACGGAAAACGGGCUUAACUGCAACCCCCAAAGCUUCUGCAACGCUCCAACCCUUUUCCUCCUCCAGCUGUCCCAACACAGAUGGAGAUCACCUGCACACGCUCAGUCCAGCUAAGAACCAUGCUUCCUCCAUAUUUCUUUUAACCUUGUGGUGUGGUUUAGUCUCACAUGACAGCAGCAGGCUGU